UGGUCAAGUUAUUAAGGGUGCAGGGCGGAUGCCUUGGCACUAGGAGCCGAUGAAGGACGUGAUAAGCUGCGAUAAGCUUCGGGGAGUUGCACGUAAACUUUGAUCCGAAGAUUUCCGAAUGAGGAAACUCACUUAGAGUAAUGUCUAAGUAUCAUUAAGUGAAUACAUAGCUUAAUGAGGGGAACUCAGGGAACUGAAACAUCUAAGUACCUGAAGGAAGAGAAAGAAAUUCGAUUCCGUAAGUAGCGGCGAGCGAACGCGGAUUAGCCCAAACCAAUAAAGUUUUCUUUAUUGGGGUUGCGGACAUAUCAUAACGAAGAGGUAUCGUAAUUGAAGAGGUUUGGAAAGACCCACCACAGAAGGUAAUAGUCCUGUAUGUUAAACGAGAAGACU
rnacentral:rRNA from 1 species